AAGUUCUGGUGUCAGCCGCCGCGGUAAAACCAGCACCUCAAGUGGUCAGGAUGAUUAUUGGGCCUAAAGCAUCCGUAGCCGGCUUUGUUAGUUUUCGGUUAAAUCCAUGUGCUCAACGCAUGGGCUGCCGAAAAUACUGCAUAGCUAGAGAGUGGGAGAGGUAGACGGUACUCAGUAGGAAGGGGUAAAAUCCUUUGAUCUAUUGAUGACCACCUGUGGCGAAGGCGGUCUACCAGAACACGUUCGACGGUGAGGGAUGAAAGCUGGGGGAGCAAACCGGAUUAGAUACCCGGGUAGUCCCAGCUGUAAACGAUGCAGACUCGAUGAUGCACUGGCAUAUAGCCAGUGCAGUGUCGCAGGGAAGCCGUUAAGUCUGCCGCCUGGGAAGUACGUACGCAAGUAUGAAACUUAAAGGAA
rnacentral:rRNA from 1 species